rnacentral:rRNA from 1 species
UACGAGGGGGGCAAGCGUUGUUCGGAAUUAUUGGGCGUAAAGGGUGCGUAGGCGGCGCGGUAUGUCUCUUGUGAAAUCUCCAGGCUCAACCCCGGAACUGCCUUUGAUACUGGUAGUCUCGAGUCCGGAAGAGGUGAGUGGAAUUCCGAGUGUAGAGGUGAAAUUCGUAGAUAUUCGGAGGAACACCAGUGGCGAAGGCGGCUCACUGGUCCGGUACUGACGCUGAGGUGCGAAAGCGUGGGGAGCAAACAGG